UGGGGGAUAUUGCACAAUGGGCGAAAGCCUGAUGCAGCGACGCCGCGUGGGGGAUGAAGGCCUUCGGGUUGUAAACUUCUUUUGCUCUGAACAAGGCGCACCAUGGGGUGUGUUGAGUGUAGGGGUUGAUUAGCGCCGGCUAACUACGUGCCAGCAGCCGCGGUAAUACGUAGGGCGCGAGCGUUGUCCGGAAUUAUUGGGCGUAAAGGGCUUGUAGGUGGCUGGUUGCGUCUGUCGUGAAAGCUCAUGGCUUAACUGUGGGUUUGCGGUGGGUACGGGCUGGCUUGAGUGCAGUAGGGGAGGCUGGAAUUCCUGGUGUAGCGGUGGAAUGAGCAGAUAUCAGGAGGAAUACCGGUGGCGAAGGCGGGUCUCUGGGCUGUUACUGACACUGAGGAGCGAAAGCAUGGGGAGCGAACAGG
rnacentral:rRNA from 1 species